CUAAUUUUAGAAAAGUCUGUUUUUCUAAAGUCUAAAACUUUUGUUUUUGUGUGGUGUGAGUCACUGUCACACCACACAAAAACAAAAGUUUUAGACUUCAGAAAAAGACUUUUCAAACACUGG